rnacentral:lncRNA from 1 species
AAAUGGCAGACGACGACGAUCUCCUCGCGACGCUCAACGUUACCAUGAUAGCGUGUCUGCUGCUGCUUCGGCGUCGCCGCUCUCGACAUGAACCGCGAAGAUUUUGGGUCCAUCCACUUUGGAGGUAUAGAGACACCGAAGGACAGGCGCACACACUGCUUCCCCGUCUUCGUGCAAGGGAUGAAGUAUAUUUCCGAGAUUUCCUCCGAAUGCCACCAAGGACAUUCGACACGUUGCUUGGUCUCGUUGGACCACGGAUUGAGAGGCAAGUGACGCCGUUUCGGCUGCCAAUUUCUGCGCACGAAAGACUGGCGAUGACCUUGAGAUUCCUUGCUAAUGGAGACACUUUCCGCAGUCUGUCAUUCAACUUUCUGACAGGGCGAUCCACGGCAGGUGGAAUAGUAAGAGAAACAACCGCCGUGCUGUGGGAUGUUCU